GAUGAACGCUGGCGGCGUGCCUAAUACAUGCCAGUCGAGCGAACAGACGAGGGGCUUGCUCCUCUGACGUUAGCGGCGGACGGGUGAGUAACACGUGGAUAACCUACCUAUAAGACUGGGAUAACUUCGGGAAACCGGAGCUAAUACCGGAUAAUAUAUUGAACCGCAUGGUUCAAUAGUGAAAGACGGUUUUGCUGUCACUUAUAGAUGGAUCCGCGCCGCAUUAGCUAGUUGGUAAGGUAACGGCUUACCAAGGCAACGAUGCGUAGCCGACCUGAGAGGGUGAUCGGCCACACUGGAACUGAGACACGGUCCAGACUCCUACGGGAGGCAGCAGUAGGGAAUCUUCCGCAAUGGGCGAAAGCCUGACGGAGCAACGCCGCGUGAGUGAUGAAGGUCUUCGGAUCGUAAAACUCUGUUAUUAGGGAAGAACAAAUGUGUAAGUAACUAUGCACGUCUUGACGGUACCUAAUCAGAAAGCCACGGCUAACUACGUG
rnacentral:rRNA from 1 species